AUACUUACCUGCCUUGAGAGACACCACAAUAAGGCAGCUGGUUUUACAAGUGUGAGGCUUAUCUCCUGCACUCCAGGUGCGCUGAUACUUUCAAUUUCCCCAAAGGUAUGAAACUCCACAAUGUAUUUUGUGGUAGUAGGUGACUAAAUUUAUGCUCUCACCUU
ensembl:snRNA U1 U1 spliceosomal RNA